GCCCUGCCAUUUAUAACAUGUGCUUUCUAAGGUUACAUUAGGUGGGAGAGAGGAGUUGUCACCGUCCAGCUGGGUGGAAGGGAAAAGAACAUGGAUAUGGAGGCAUGGAUAUGGUCUUUGUGGCCAGGCCUGGGAGGCCUCAUAUCCCAUUUUUUCAAAACCCAUUAUUAUGACACACUUAACUUGAAAAGGGUCUGGAACUCAUCUUUAUCACAAAGUCCCUUGGUGGAAAGCCAUUGCUCAGAGAGAAUUCUUCACUGUGAAAAGGGAACGUGGGUUGUUGGUGAUUGGCUAUCUCUGCUAAGCAUAGGGUUAGACAGUACAUAUUAGAGGGAACCUGGUGAGGGAUCUUAUUAGCUAAGAACCAGGGUACAUAAAAUUAUAAAAGGAUUCCUCAGUGGGAUGGAUUGAAAAGAAAAUCAUAAGAAUGUACUUCUUGACAGAUAGAACAUGAACCCUGAGUUGAGAGGGGAGGAUGGAAAAUGGCCAUUGGUACUUUGGUAAGGACUUGAGAAAUUAACCCUUAAAAAAAGGAAGAUGAUAUGGCUUAGAAGUAGCUUACUGAAGCCCUAACUUCUGGUUGUCAGUCUCAACCUGACCUAACUAAAUUAAGGGGCUUUCCUUUUGGUUUCUGGUUCCUAUUUAAUUUAUAUGACAAUGCUCUCAUAUUUCUCCUCUCAGAGUUUUCUGAUUAUUUGUACUGUUGGCAUGCUAUUAUACAUAUCAUCAUCUUCUUUAACUCACAGUAGAUAAGAGAAGGAUAGAAAUGAAACUGCCCAUAGACCAUAACUUGUUAGCAGCUUUAUUUUUCAUUUUAUCCCAGGAUGUGGUUUCUUUCUAGUACUCUUUGGAGGCUAGAAAAAAGGGUAAGAAGAUACUAAGUACUGUCCAGUGUUUGGGACAAGUCUCAAAGACCAGGAAUAUGUUUAUCAUGUCUUCUUUUAAUGUUUUGUAUGGUCAUGGGAAUGUUAUGGAUUCUUGCUGUGGUUUGAUUUUCCCACUUGGAAAACAUAGAAUAGAUUUAUUUUUUUUUUUACUUUAUACUACUGGCCAUGUGGAACUUCUUAGGAAAUCCCAAGAUCUGUGUGUUUGUGAAUAUUAAUUCAUAUUUAGUAUAUAUAUUUUUAUGUUAGUAUAAGUUAGCAAUUUAAGCCAGUGUUUAUAUUCAAUUUUAAACAUACUUUCAUUAUUAUGCACUCUUGGGACAGGAAAAAGUAGUGUUUAGCUUUGUGAACAAAAUAGCAAUACAAACUCAAGUAAUAAAUUUGCAAGGUAUAUCAAACAUUAUUAUGAUGUGCCACAAAACUCACAAGGAUGCACACAAAGCUGGUGUUAUAGCUUGUGUUUACAUGUCUCCCCAAAGCCUCGUGCAGUCAUAGGUGGAGCUUUUUCAGAGGUGGCUGAAUCUAGAGUAUGUGAUUGAUUCAUGGUGCAAUGCUAGGAUCAAAGGUGCUAGGAUUAAGGGUGGGUGAUUACUAAAUCAGUCUGCUGAUUGGUUUGGCACCACUUUAAUCCUGGUAGCUUGGAUACAAUAUAAAGGAAAGAAAGAGGCUUGUCUUAUCCCUUGCUUGCUUUGCUACCUUCUGCCCACCAUGAACUAUUUCUCCUCUGCAAUAUCUGUCUGCCAUGCCACUCUGCCUUGGAGCCAGCUGAUUAUGGACUAAAACCUCUAUAAACUGUGAG
ensembl:lncRNA